ensembl:lncRNA
GUGAUCCUUUUUGGAAGUUUUCUUAUUUUUUAUUCUCAUUUCUACUAUUCGCUGCCCGGUGUUGUCGAUUACUCCUCGACCUUAAUAAAAGUUGCACUUACAGCCCCGAUGGGAAAGAGGGAGCGUGAAGACACCCAGAUGUCCAAGAAGAUGCCAACUUCCCCAUUUGACUACAGUAGUUCAGAUGAUGCUUCCAAUCAGGUUCCAUCAAAUAGCCAGGACUAUUUCAGCAACAGACCUUCAGAGACAACAAGUAACCCUUACAGGCUGUACCCCAACAGACCUCAACAGACAACAAGUAACCCUGACAGGCUGUACCCCAACAGACCUCAACAGACAACAAGUAACCCUUACAGGCUGUACCCCAACAGACCUCAACAGACAACAAGUAACCCUUACAGGCUGUACCCCAACAGACCUCAACAGACAACAAGUAACCCUGACAGGCUGUAUCCCAACAGACCUCCACAGACAACAAGUAACGAGUACAGCCAGUUCAACAAUCAGCAGGUCCAGAGCAGCAGUGCCUCCACAGAUGAUCCGAAUCAUGUCCGGCUCAUAAACCACCUUCAGUUCAACAGCAGACCCCAACAAACAACAAGUAAUGAUUACAGACAGUAUCACACAGUCCACACAGACUUGGCCGCCUCCACAGACCUAGUGCGCAAUCUCCAACUGUCCAGAAUGUGUGGCUGUGUGGCUUGCCACAUCUUCUACUGUAACACUGUAGUGAGGCACAAUGCUCUUAGAGGCCGGGAAGGCGGUGUCAUAACAUUAGAGAUGGGCAUACAGAAUAGAGGCAAUAGGCGGAACAAUGGCUUUAGAUACUUCAUCAGCAGAAGUGUUAUUCAUUAUCUAAUGGUGAUCCAUAUAAUUAUUUUUAAUAUUCUGCUUUUAGUAAUGUCACUCUUGUUUCAUGGCAGGAUAUAAAUUACUCUCUGAACAAACUGCCACCAGCAUUAGAUAAAAAUGUGGAAAAUUUUUUGAUUUCCUGGAGAUGCCAGUUAACUUUUUAAAAACAAAUGCAGUGGAACAAAUAACUCUAAUAGGGACUAAUUGAGAAAACUGGUGACAUCUGGCAAGGUGUAAAAAUCCUGGAGGAGCAUACUGUUCAGAUGUCCACUGUGGCAGGUAGCUCAGUACGGGCAGGUGGAGGUGUGCUGCUGGUGGUCCUGUGGUCUGACUAUGGCUACAGCAUGCAGUCAACAAGGUUGUGACCACUGGAGCAAAGAUUUGAGUGAAUUUAAUAUAAUGAACUUCUUCAUUUUACUUGGGAUAUUUACUUAUGUGCAACUUUGUUUUGCCAUAUUCUGUUUUCUUGAACUGGUCAUUUGAAAGAUUUCCCAUUUAAAGCAAAUCUGCACUGGCUGUUUCUUUAAUAUAUACUCAGUGGGUUAAUGCAGACUUUUUCCUGCUCCUGUGUCUUAAUGAACAACAAACUGGCACUUUCUGUAAUCACUCUGUGCAAGUCUUACCUUAAACUCCACCAGGGGGCAGCAUUUCACCAGUGCUAAAUAUUUUUUCUUAACCUUUGAGUUUUAUUUUCAGCCCUACUUCCAUGUCCUAGAAAGGCUUCAGCUUUUGACCGUAAUUAAGAAGGUGCUCCUAAUGACAGGUCUGGUUGACUCACUGCACCAUCUUGUGGCACAAAUUGGUUAAUACAUGAAAGCGGAGCACAGGUACACCGAUAUUUUGGGCAUAAAGUUCUGGCCGUUCUUAAGAGCUUCAGUUCAUUUUGGAAGUAAUUUACAAAACCUUUAAGUGAAAAAAGAAAAGCACAAGCACACAGCUGCACUAUUGUGUGUUACCAACUAGUUUAAACGGUUUUAAAACAUGUAAAUGCUAAUGGGCUUUAAACAUGUUCACACUGAGAGUUAAUAACAGUCCACCACUGCAUGCAUCUAUGGCAUUUCUAAACAAACCCAAGUUUAAUGUCUGUCUCUGUGUCUACACACACACACACACACACACACACACACACACACACACACACACACACACAACUGUGUAUUUAUGUUGUGGUAUUGAGUAACAGGGCAAGAGGCGGAUGUGAUCCACCUGCAGCUGCUGUGCACAGCGAGCGGUUUGGAGAUUCAGGUAAACCAGUGGUUGGAGAGAGGUGGAAAACUGGAAGAAUCUGGAACUGGUUCUACAAAUAUUCACACAAAAGAUCAAACUCUGUAGUAGAGUUUUGCACUUGGGGAUUUCCUUGUUCGGCCAAGAAGAAGACUGCCAUGUUUGUGGUCUGCAACGGGAUUACAUUCAAGACAUCACUCAUGAUUUUGUCUACUCUUUUUGGACAUGAAUGGACCUCCCUUACUAAAUGCACAUGAUGCACUUUGAGUAAUAUGAUAUAGGUGCUUCUCUGUGUUAUUUAUCUAUGACCUGAGUAAUGCAGUAAUAUUCCCUGAUCAGUUUAAAGUACAAUAAAAUGGUCUCACGUUUAAGCUCUCUGUUUGAUUUGGUUUUACUUUGCACAUGAUACAAAUCACACAGAAAGUAAGUGAACACAAAACAAACGUGUGCCGAAUCAACUAAAUGACACAAUCUGAAAGAAAAAAAAGAUAAAAAACCUAUAAAGCAAAAUUAAACACUGACCAGUUUUAAGGCUUUUUAUUUUCUGUACAUACAACAUUUUACAAAAGCACGAAAUCCAGAUUUUUAAUCACGACUUAAAAACAUAAAGAGGAUAAAAAAUGACAUGCAUCAUCUGUACGUUGCUGUAUUUGACACUCUUCUCCAUGCAGUUAAUUAAAACGUUAAAAUAAAUACACUAUUUUCUAUUUUAUCAGCAUUAACAAAAUGAAUCAAUUAACAGUAAAUUUGCACGAUGGAGUUGAGCAGUCGAUUAAUGUUUGACUUUCUGUCACACUUCAUCGAGGUAAUGGCCAUUGAUUGGUGGAGAAACAUCAGCGCUGCCAUGAAUUAUAAAAACAAUCUAAUACAUAACAGAAGAACAGAACAGGGAUGUAAAAUGCAUAAGAAUUUACUUUUCUCUUUGCUUUUUCUGAGUAAUAAAAAUAUAUCUCUACCAUUUACUGUUUAGGAAGCAUCUAAAUAAGAAGAGAAGCAGUUAUUAAGAUAACAGGAUUUGAUCUUUAUCUAAUGCAGAUCACGUGACUUUUUUAAGACUACAGAGGAAAAUUAAAGAGAAGCGAGUCUAGUAUCGUUUAGUGCUUUUUAAAGCAUGUUUCAGUUUCUUAUGUAAAUAUGUAGUUUCAUUGAUUGAUCACAUCCUGUGUUUAUCA